rnacentral:rRNA from 1 species
UGGGAACCUUCCUAGGGGUACGGAACAACUCAGGGAAACUUGAGCUAAUACCGUAUACGCCCGUGAGGAGAAAGUUUUAACGCCCCUAGACGGGCCCGCGUAGGAUUAGGUAGUUGGUGAGGUAACAGCUCACCAAGCCUACGAUCCUUAGCUGAUCUGAGAGGAUGAUCAGCCACACUGGGACUGAGACACGUCCCAGACUCCUACGGGAGGCAG